AGCUUGCUGCAGACACAAAAUAAAUGCUGAAUGCGAGUCCAUUCAUUAAUAGAGCAAAUUACUUCAUAAAGAUGAAAUACUGUAAGAAAGUAAAAAAGUACUGUAAUCCAUUUAUUUUAAAAGCCAUUAGUAAUGUAGCUGCCACAACAAACUUCUUCCUCUCGUGCCUGUACAGCAAGCUAGUACCAACUUCCUGUAAUACAUCACUAUUCUGUCAUCUAAUGCCCAAUGAAAUUAACAGGAGGUUUCAACAAUGUGAAAUGGGCUUUAGGUCAGGCUGUGAAGGAGCUCGAUAUGUGAAAUCCAGAUGCUUAAUCAGAAGAUGCAAGCUCAACCAUUUGCCAUAGAAAGACCCUUCAGUUCUACUCACCACCAUUUGACAGCUGGAAAACUAAUUACUGUUUGCAAAAUGUUCUGAGAAUCAUGGAUAAUAAAGUUAACGUAAGAGGAAUUUGCACGUCCAGCAGAGCACCAGAUCAGCAGUGCCUAACCCCAAACAGCACAGCAGACCAAAAACAUGGUAAGAAAGCAGAGAGAAAGCAGAAGGGAACACGGCAUGGGAAAAGAUGGUCCUGCCUUUUAACUGCUAGUUCUCAAUAGUUACAAUUUGAUGUUCUCUUUCCUUGACUCUUUCAGGACUAACCCAUAUUAUUGGCUAAAGUUCUAAAAACAGGAAAAUGAGAGCCCUUGCAUAGCAGAGAAACGUGGCGUGUUUCACCCAAAUCUGGAGGAAUCGGGGAAUUUAUAGUGUUGUUAAGGACCAAGCAAAAUAAUUCACAUCCUUACAGCUCAGUUACAUUGGAAUCCACGUGUGCUCAGUUUGCAAGAUGAAAAAUCAGGUGCCGAAACAAACAUGUCAUGUUUUUCUUUGCCUGAAUGUUUUCCAUCUGUCGAACAGGCAGAGCUCUCGGAGCUGCCAGUCACAGCUCCGAAAUGCACUCAGAUCCAACGAUGGAAAACAAAUAACACUUAUUAGAGUAGAUGCAGCAAGAACAGGCUUCGGAGUGUUCCUCACAGGAGUGCUCAGCGUGUGCAGAGCGAACAAAUGACAGGAUCAGGAGGAAAUGGGAACCCCACUACCUCAAGUUUGAAACUGAAACAUAACAGAACUUAGAUUUUAAAGUUUACUUUCUUUUUUCUUUUUGCAAAAUUAUGCCACUUCCCCUCCUAAAGAAGGGAUCCAAAAAUCCAGUGCGACCACAGCCUAAGAACCCCCAGAGUAACUGUAUGUUCUAUAAAAAGUCUCCUGGGCAAAAUGCCCAAAAUGAAAUCAACCCUGUUCAUCUGCCAUCCUGUGCAAUAUCUAGGCCAAAGCUGCUUCUCUCUUGCUAUGCUCCACAACUAUUUUUAAAGCCAAAAGCUAUAAACGUUUUUGGUGAAAGAACAAACCCACAAAUUACUCAAUGUGCUCUAUGCAGAUUGGACUAUGUGUGGUUUGGAAUACCAUUUUACAUUGUGUGUGCUACCUAGGACAAGGAUAGACAAGGUCACCUAAUCCACAGCACUGUGCAGCAGAGGCAGUCCUCUUACAGUCAUACUGUCAUUGUUAUAUUAUUGGCACACUUAGUAUAACAUCACCAGAAUGAAUUGUUUUUCAUAGCAAAUUCGCAUAUACCCACCUAGCUAACAGACAAGACUUAUUUUCUUUUGGUAUUGCAUAGAUAACACCAAGUUUUCUGUGAUUUUCAGUACAUUAUGGAGUAUAAAUAGCAUCUCUCCAAUUAUUUAAGAGAAGCAGUCCUGGUCUCGAUGGAGUGGAUCCAGAGAGGUUUCAUCUGAUCAGUGGAAUACUGUAAAGUGCAUUGUAAAGGAUGACAUUUAUUGUGUGACCACAUACACCAAUCAAAUCUGAAUAAUCUUCUGUCAGUGAAAAGCAAACUAUGAUUCUCUUCACUUCUACAACUACUUUUAAGGUCUUGAAAAUAGCUUGAGUGGGAGGUAGAGUAUUUGCAUGUUCAAUAUUCAAAGCAUAAUGUAUUUUACAAUGGAAGUCAGAGGAUUUUGUGGAUUAAAGAACUGAUUCCACCAAUGUUCUGUUAUUAGUUGAUUAAGUUAAGACUGAAUAAUAAAAAUUUCAUCCAAAGCAAACAAGCUGCUCGCAGUGUCCAGUGAAAUCUAUUCCCUUUAGGAGACAGAUGUCUAUCUUUCAUUACAAUCUCUGGCUUUUUAAAAGCUACUAAGUUUUCACGAUUUUUUUUUUUUUUUUUUUUUUUGCCAUAAAUGAGGUGAAAUGGUA